AACAGGAUUAGAUACCCUGGUAGUCCACGCCGUAAACGAUGUCGACUUGGAGGUUGUGCCCUUGAGGCGUGGCUUCCGGAGCUAACGCGUUAAGUCGACCGCCUGGGGAGUACGGCCGCAAGGUUAAAACUCAAAUGAAUUGACGGGGGCCCGCACAAGCGGUGGAGCAUGUGGUUUAAUUCGAUGCAACGCGAAGAACCUUACCUACUCUUGACAUCCAGAGAACUUAGCAGAGAUGCUUUGGUGCCUUCGGGAACUCUGAGACAGGUGCUGCAUGGCUGUCGUCAGCUCGUGUUGUGAAAUGUUGGGUUAAGUCCCGCAACGAGCGCAACCCUUAUCCUUUGUUGCCAGCGGUCCGGCCGGGAACUCAAAGGAGACUGCCAGUGAUAAACUGGAGGAAGGUGGGGAUGACGUCAAGUCAUCAUGGCCCUUACGAGUAGGGCUACACACGUGCUACAAUGGCGCAUACAAAGAGAAGCGACCUCGCGAGAGCAAGCGGACCUCAUAAAGUGCGUCGUAGUCCGGAUUGGAGUCUGCAACUCGACUCCAUGAAGUCGGAAUCGCUAGUAAUCGUGGAUCAGAAUGCCACGGUGAAUACGUUCCCGGGCCUUGUACACACCGCCCGUCACACCAUGGGAGUGGGUUGCAAAAGAAGUAGGUAGCUUAACCUUCGGGAGGGCGCUUACCACUUUGUGAUUCAUGACUGGGGUGAAGUCGUAACAAGGUAACC
rnacentral:rRNA from 1 species